CCCUUAGAUGCUCUGGGCCGCACACGCGCUACAAUGGCAAAGUCAACGAGCUUAUCCUAUGCUGACAAGCACAGGUAAUCUUUUCAGUCUUUGUCGUGAUGGGGAUAGACCCUUGUAAUUAUUGGUCUCCAACGAGGAAUUCCUAGUAAACGCAAGUCAUCAACUUGCAUUGAUUACGUCCCUGCCCUUUGUACACACCGCCCGUCGCACCUACCGAUUGAAUGGUCCGGUGAAGUCUUCGGACCGAUGCUGACUCGUUGGCAACGGAAAGUUGAGUAAACCUUACCAUUUAGAGGAAGGUGAAGUCGUAACA
rnacentral:rRNA from 1 species